UACGAAGGGGGCUAGCGUUGCUCGGAAUGACUGGGCGUAAAGGGCGCGUAGGCGGAUCGGACAGUCGGGCGUGAAAUUCCUGGGCUCAACCUGGGGACUGCGUUCGAGACGUUUGGUCUAGAGUGGGGAAGAGGGUCGUGGAAUUCCCAGUGUAGAGGUGAAAUUCGUAGAUAUUGGGAAGAACACCGGUGGCGAAGGCGGCGACCUGGUCCUUGACUGACGCUGAGGCGCGAAAGCGUGGGGAG
rnacentral:rRNA from 1 species